GACGUUAUUAAUCAGAAUACGUUCUUAAACUCUAUUCAAUUACUAAUUCUUUUUGACGGAUCUCUAGCUCUCUCUGAAUCUCACCAUGUGUUCUUGAAUUACUUGAAUCAGAGAUUGAAGACACCACUAAUCAGAAAAUGGAAGACGUCGUUAAUCAGAAGAUUGAAGACGCCACUAAUCAGGAAAUAGAAGACGCCACUAAUCAGACCAUUGAAGAAAGAUCAAAUCUACAAAAGCUGUUAGAUAAUAUGCGCAACAAGAAGUAAUCUCAAAACCACAAUCUGAAGAGGAGAUGACUCAAGUUGUGAAGACUGAAGAUGAUGACUGGCUGAUGGUGAAGAAGGACGACUAAUUAUUUCAUUUGGUAUUAUUAAAUUCCUGUUUGUCUGAUUAAUUUGUUUUCUUGGAAAUUAAAUGGUGCAAAUGAAUUGACAUCAGUUCGCAAUUAUCGGCGUUAUUUUUUCCUUCUGAUUAAAGGUUUCUUUUUCAGAAGAAGUAUCGAGCAAACAAGAUGAAUGAUACAUACUUUGAUAAGAUCAGAAAACUGUGGCCUUUAGACAAUUCUUUGAUAAUUUUUUCUUGAGAAAUAUGUU